CUUCACCGACCCGAGCCAGAGCGGCGUCUCGCGGUCCUGCCCGUACGUGGCGAGCAGGGCCUGGGCCUC
rnacentral:antisense_RNA from 1 species